UAGUUAUGUUUUCUGUUAUUACAGAUUAGCAGAGGAUGGAUAUUGGGCCCAGAAUUGUGUGACAUGUGGACUUCGAGUGAUGUGUUGUGCUGCACUGCUUCGAUACUUCAUCUCGUCGCUAUAGCUGUUGAUAGGUAUUGGGCCGUCACUAACGUCGAUUACAUUCACACGAGAAACGGCCGACGGAUAGUGGGCAUGAUUGUCGUGGUGUGGUGCGUUGCGCUGGUGGUGUCGUUGGCUCCGCAGUUUGGCUGGAAGGACCCGGAUUACUUGGAUCGCAUCAAUAUCCAACAGCGGUGCAUGGUUAGCCAAGACAUUGGCUAUCAGAUAUUUGCUACGUGCUCCACAUUUUACGUGCCUCUGCUGGUCAUCCUCUUCCUCUAUUGGAAAAUAUUCAAAAUAGCCAGGAGAAGGAUUCGCAGGCGAAGAGCUCAGAGAAACGCAAUGCUCGAACACUCGAGGUUGAAGAAGGCGCCGGUGGACGACGCGGCCGCUGAGCCCAAGAAAUGCGGUUUCUUUCGGAAGGCCGUGUUCCUACGCAUCAAGAAGAAAAAACAAGUGGAAGAGGCGGCCGUGUGCUCGAGCAUCGGGCUGAUCGACGGCCAUUCCAGCUGUUCCAUGCCGGAAUCGUCGCAGGACGGCGGCGGUGGCGGUCAGUCAAAAGCGGGAAACGGGAGCGGAAGCGGUGGUUGCGGGAGCGGAGGCGAGGAGAACAAAACCACCGCGUUCACGAUCACCUCGAACCACAAUCACGGCGCGACCACGGCCCCCGCUCAGCACCAGCACCAGCACCAGCAUCACCAGCACCAGCAUCAACAGCACCACAAUCAGCUGCAGCCUCCGGUCAUCGAGGACGACGGGCCCACCAUGACGGACCCAUCGGUCGGCUGCGGCGGCGGCAUCGGCGGCGGUGGUAGCGGUAGCAGCGGUGGCCGGCACACGGUGAUCGAGAUGAACGUGAACCGGAUGAGCGUGCCCGCGGCUGCCCGGGUCAAGCCUAAGCGCGAGAAGAAGGAGUCGCUAGAGGCGAAGCGAGAACGGAAGGCGGCCAAGACCCUGGCCAUCAUCACCGGCGCGUUCGUCGUGUGUUGGCUGCCGUUCUUCAUCAUGGCCCUGGUCAUGCCCCUAUGCCAGGACUGUGUCAUCAACGAGUACGUAUCCAGCUUCUUCCUGUGGCUGGGCUACUUCAACUCCACCCUCAACCCAAUCAUCUACACCGUGUUCAGUCCCGAGUUCCGGUUGGCCUUCACCAAGAUGAUUUGCGGCACCACGUACCGGAGAUAGUGCGCGCCACCGUCACCGGUACCGUUUCAAAAGAUCCGUAUUCACGGCCAUUAUCGUCACAUUUUAAAACACUAAGAAUGCCAUCGCCUUACAGUUGUACACGAUUGAGACCGCAGAUAUAGAUAGUUAUCUGGAUUACAAAACCGUUCGAACGAAUCAUUUUAGACUUUUUUUUUUCGUCUAUGAGAUAAUUGGAACGUAAUACAUGUAGACACGUUAAAUUAUCUUUAAAUCUAAUUGAACAAUAAUAACAAUGAACCCCAUUUAAAAAGUAUACCUAUGGGUCAUCGUCGAACCAUACCGUCGUCUGGUUUAUUAUUAUUUACAUAACUUCUGUAAAAAUGGACGGUAAUUUCACUUUUGAAUGCAAGUUGCCGAUCCGGUUCGUUGUGUAUGUUGUCUGCGAACGAGGCAACCCACCGGCUAUCGUACCCAUCGAGCCAAGCAUAUUAAAUAUGCACAUCAAAUUUUGAUAGACGGUAUCGCUCUGCGACGUAAAACCGCAGCGGUAGAUGUAGCGUGCUCGUGCGGUAGCGGAGAACUUUUGACAGGCUCGCGUACUGGUGAGAUCGACGUGGCUAUAACAACAACAGUAAAGAUAAUAACGGCACCUCUUUGCAGUCGUUCACGGGUUCUUUUUGGGCGUGGGGAAGCGAUACGGAAAUCGCACUUCUACACGCGUACCCUAUUGGGGGGGAGGGCGAUUCGUUCGGUCGUCUGUUCUGGGCAAACGACCUGUCCGCGCAGCCGUCCGGCUUGAUCGAUAAGUGUCUUCCCCCCCCCCUACGUGACAGCCAAAAACCGGAAACGUUCGGUUGCGGGUGUCUAUGGCUUCGGCGUUGGACUUAUACGAGUUGGACGUACAAUGCGACUCGAAAAAAUCUUGCGCGGACGGGAGAAAGGGGAAAAAAAGAGAUACUACGACGUGAAUCGGGUGACGUGUCCGUGCGCCGGGCCAACGUUCGACCGACCUAACCAACGGGAACGGCGGCUCGCGCAGAACGGUGACGAUGGGUCCGAAGGGUUUCUAGUGCCACCGGAAUUUCACCCACAUGACGGGGUCGGGGCUACCGCGUUUCGCGAGACCAAUAUAUUAUGUUUCGAUAACACCUCUCGGCUGCGACCACGCUGGUUCCUUGUUUUAAUCCUUUUCAACCCGUUACUUUAUUAUUGUUAUCGUUAUUACAAGGGAGUUUAAACAACGAGAUAUUGUUAUUGUUAUGUUGCUGUCAUAUGAUUAUUGUUGUUAUUAUUAUUAUUAUUAUAGUAAUUAUCAUCUGCAACAUUGCUCAGCCAUCGAGUCGAAUAAAGGAUAAUAAAUAUACCUGUACAGUGUAUACCGACUGUACAUACCCAACGUCCUGACCUACACAAACGUUUUAUGAACUUGGUCGAAAACGUCUUCCUGUCGACAUGAAACGAUGUCGUGGUGAUAUGAAGUUAAAAAAAAAAGAAAAAUCGGACUUUUUGUACUUUCUUUCGCGCAAAACCUGUGUAAAAAUCAUAUAAGUAUGUAUAUAUAUAUAUAUAUACGUAUAUACAUAUUAUUAUAUUUUAAUCUUAUCACACUCUUUAAACGGAUUCCGUGAUGCGGAGCGUUUUUAAUCACAUUGAUUCUGUUUUAUAAACCUUCACAAUAGUUAUAACAUCGCGGGUGAUAAAAUAAGAAAAUGGCAAUUUUUUUUCACAUUUCUCUCAUUUUCUUUUUAGCGUUUUAGUUUUCAUAUAA
rnacentral:misc_RNA from 1 species